CAGCAGCCGCGGGAAUACAGAGGGUGCGAGCGUUAAUCGGAUUUACUGGGCGUAAAGCGUGCGUAGGCGGCUUUUUAAGUCGGAUGUGAAAUCCCUGAGCUUAACUUAGGAAUUGCAUUCGAUACUGGGAAGCUAGAGUAUGGGAGAGGAUGGUAGAAUUCCAGGUGUAGCGGUGAAAUGCGUAGAGAUCUGGAGGAAUACCGAUGGCGAAGGCAGCCAUCUGGCCUAAUACUGACGCUGAGGUACGAAAGCAUGGGGAGCAAACAGGAUUAGAUACCCGAGUAGUCCCUGUCUCUUAUAC
rnacentral:rRNA from 1 species